UUAAGUUCAGCGGGUAUCCCUACCUGAUCCGAGGUCAAAAGUGAAAAAGAGGCUUCAUGGAUGCCACGAUUUAAGGACUAAGACGCAAAAUGUGCUGCGCUUACUACCAAAAACACUGGCUGCCAAUGACUUUAAGGCGAGUCUAAUAAAAGACAAGACGCCCAACACCAAGCAAAGCUUGAGGGUACAAAUGACGCUCG
rnacentral:misc_RNA from 1 species